AUUCUAUUAGUAUAUAAGUAUAUUUAACUUCCAAUUAAAAGGAUUAAUUUG
rnacentral:tRNA from 1 species